GAUGAACGCUGGCGGCGUGCCUAAUACAUGCAAGUCGAGCGAACGGACGAGAAGCUUGCUUCUCUGAUGUUAGCGGCGGACGGGUGAGUAACACGUGGAUAACCUACCUAUAAGACUGGGAUAACUUCGGGAAACCGGAGCUAAUACCGGAUAAUAUUUUGAACCGCAUGGUUCAAAAGUGAAAGACGGUCUUGCUGUCACUUAUAGAUGGAUCCGCGCUGCAUUAGCUAGUUGGUAAGGUAACGGCUUACCAAGGCAACGAUGCAUAGCCGACCUGAGAGGGUGAUCGGCCACACUGGAACUGAGACACGGUCCAGACUCCUACGGGAGGCAGCAGUAGGGAAUCUUCCGCAAUGGGCGAAAGCCUGACGGAGCAACGCCGCGUGAGUGAUGAANGUCUUCGGAUCGGUAAACUCUGUUAUUAGGGAAGAACAUACGUGUAAGUAACUGUGCACAUCUUGACGGUACCUAAUCAGAAAGCCACGGCUAACUACGUGCCAGCAGCCGCGGUAAUACGUAGGUGGCAAGCGUUAUCCGGAAAUAUUUGGGCGUAAAGCGCGCGUAGGCGGUUUUUUAGUCUGAUGUGAAAGCCCACGGCUCAACCGUGGAGGGUCAUUGGAAACUGGAAAACUUGAGUGCAGAAGAGGAAAGUGGAAUUCCAUGUGUAGCGGUGAAAUGCGCAGAGAUAUGGAGGAACACCAGUGGCGAAGGCGACUUUCUGGUCUGUAACUGACGCUGAUGUGCGAAAGCGUGGGGAUCAAACAGGAUUAGAUACCCUGGUAGUCCACGCCGUAAACGAUGAGUGCUAAGUGUUAGGGGGUUUCCGCCCCUUAGUGCUGCAGCUAACGCAUUAAGCACUCCGCCUGGGGAGUACGACCGCAAGGUUGAAACUCAAAGGAAUUGACGGGGACCCGCACAAGCGGUGGAGCAUGUGGUUUAAUUCGAAGCAACGCGAAGAACCUUACCAAAUCUUGACAUCCUUUGACAACUCUAGAGAUAGAGCCUUCCCCUUCGGGGGACAAAGUGACAGGUGGUGCAUGGUUGUCGUCAGCUCGUGUCGUGAGAUGUUGGGUUAAGUCCCGCAACGAGCGCAACCCUUAAGCUUAGUUGCCAUCAUUAAGUUGGGCACUCUAAGUUGACUGCCGGUGACAAACCGGAGGAAGGUGGGGAUGACGUCAAAUCAUCAUGCCCCUUAUGAUUUGGGCUACACACGUGCUACAAUGGACAAUACAAAGGGCAGCGAAACCGCGAGGUCAAGCAAAUCCCAUAAAGUUGUUCUCAGUUCGGAUUGUAGUCUGCAACUCGACUACAUGAAGCUGGAAUCGCUAGUAAUCGUAGAUCAGCAUGCUACGGUGAAUACGUUCCCGGGUCU
rnacentral:rRNA from 1 species